rnacentral:rRNA from 1 species
GCGAGUGGCGAACGGGUGAGUAAUAUAUCGGAACAUACCCUAGAGUGGGGGAUAACGUAGCGAAAGUUACGCUAAUACCGCAUACGCACUAAGGUGGAAAGUGGGGGAUCGCAAGACCUCAUGCUCAUGGAGUGGCCGAUAUCUGAUUAGCUAGUUGGUGAGGUAAAGGCUCACCAAGGCGACGAUCAGUAGCUGGUUUGAGAGAACGACCAGCCACACUGGAACUGAGACACGGUCCAGACUCCUACGGGAGGCAGCAGUGGGGAAUUUUGGACAAUGGGCGCAAGCCUGAUCCAGCAAUGCCGCGUGAGUGAAGAAGGCCUUCGGGUUGUAAAGCUCUUUUGUCAGGGAAGAAACGGUAGUCUCUAAUACAGAUUGCUAAUGACGGUACCUGAAGAAUAAGCACCGGCUAACUACGUGCCAGCAGCCGCGGUAAUACGUAGGGUGCAAGCGUUAAUCGGAAUUACUGGGCGUAAAGCGUGCGCAGGCGGUUAUAUAAGUCAGAUGUGAAAUCCCCGGGCUCAACCUGGGAACUGCAUUUGAGACUGUAUGGCUAGAGUGUGUCAGAGGGGGGUAGAAUUCCACGUGUAGCAGUGAAAUGCGUAGAUAUGUGGAGGAAUACCGAUGGCGAAGGCAGCCCCCUGGGAUAACACUGACGCUCAUGCACGAAAGCGUGGGGAGCAAACAGGAUUAGAUACCCUGGUAGUCCACGCCCUAAACGAUGUCUACUAGUUGUCGGGACUUAAUUGUCUUGGUAACGCAGCUAACGCGUGAAGUAGACCGCCUGGGGAGUACGGUCGCAAGAUUAAAACUCAAAGGAAUUGACGGGGACCCGCACAAGCGGUGGAUG